AAGGAUGGAGGAAGAGGAGGAUGGAGGAAGAGGAGGAUGGAGGGAGAGGAGGAUGGGAGGAAGAGGAGGAUGGAGGGAGAGGAGGAAGGAGGGAGAGGAGGAUGGGAGGAAGAGGAGUAUGGCGGAGAUGUAGAACCAAGAGAAAACAGUAUGUCCACACCUACACCCCUCCCUCUUACCUUUCUCCGCCCCACUGAACAGGAAAGACUGUUGGUGUAUGCUUCUUAGUGGACUCUUCUUCCUUUCUCUCCUCUUAGUUCAUGCUCCAGUCACUUCACCGUGUCAAUGUGUGUUUCCAAAUCAUAGAUUUACUAUUGUGAUGUCACUGUGUACACACACACACACAGAUAUGCCACAUCUCUCUGGAGUGUGUGUAGUUCUGCACUGUCACAGAAUGAAACAGUGAUGUCACAAAGUGGAACAGUGAUGUCACAGAAUGGAACAAUGAUGUCACAGAAUGGAAUAGUGAUGUCACAGAAUGGAACAGUGAUGUCACAGAAUGGAACAGUGAUGUCACAGAAUGGAACAGUGAUGUCACAGAAUGGAACAGUAAGGUCACAGAAUGGAACAGUGAUGUCACAGCUAGGGAACUGAGAAGUGUGGAGUUACAGGUCCGAUAUCCGAGGGGACGGUUUUCAGGUUCACACCGUUUCACAGACACAGACACUGAAGCUGCUGAAACAGCUUUUAAAACAAAAA